rnacentral:rRNA from 1 species
ACGAGUUUAGUAGAGCUAAAUGAGUAAGUGAGAGCCGAAGGAGAGGAAAGAAGCAAGCGAUUGUCACAAGUCAAGAAAGGUUCUUAGCGAGGAUGGUAGCCAACUUACGUUCCGCUAGAGUAGAACUGGAAAUGAUAAUUUAAUAAUGUACACUUUCGAUUGUCUAAGUAUGUACAACUUUAAUUUUGUGUUUAUAUAAAUUUAAAAUGAUAUCAUCGAAAACAAAAUAUUGUAUAAAUAGAGAAGAGCAGUAAGACGGUAUCUAAUUGAAAAUGAUCUUACUGCUCUUUUAUAUACUUUAUUGAAAUACAAAAAGGAAAUUAAUUAUUAUACAAUAGACAAGCUAUUGCAUAAGUAACACUAACUUUUAUCAAAGAAGUGUUACUUUAUAAUUAAUGAUUUUAUUAGAGCGUCUACAUGCGGUUUUAAAGCAUCAUCGUCUAUACCGCCAAAGCCUAAUAUAAAUUUAGGGGUUUUCUUAUAGUCUUGAUCAUCAUCAAAAUUAUAAACUUGUAAUUUUAACUUUACUUUGUUUGCUCUAUCAAGACACUCUUGUAAUGUUAAUCCAUUUUUUACUGUAAUUGUAAAAUGCAUACCCGUUUCAGCACCUUGAAUAUCAAGCUGCUCUUUGUAAGGUUUCAAUCUUUUUAAAAUAUAGGUUAGUUUUCUACGAUAAAUUCGUCUCAUUUUAUUUAAAUGCCUUUCAAAACCACCGGAAGAUAUAAACGUUGCAAUAAGGUUUUGCAUAUGAACAGGUACAGUGUUGCCUUCAAUGUGAUUUUGAGAAUGAUAUUUUUUCAUUAUAGAAUAGGGUAACACCAUAUAUGCAACUCGACAGCUAGGAAAAAUAGACUUUGAAAAUGUACUGAUAUAAAUCACUUUUUCUCCUCUUGAAUAUAGACCUUGAAUUGCUGGAAUGGGUUUGCCGAAAUAUCUAAACUCGGAAUCAUAAUCAUCUUCUAUAAUAAAUCGUUCUUCUUUUUCUUGAGCCCAUUGUAUUAAUUGAGUUCGUUUUUUUAAGUCCAUCACAUAUCCAGUUGGAAAUUGAUGGGAAGGCGUUAUAUAUACUAUAUUUUUUUGUGAUUUAAUAACUUCAUCUACGUUUAUUCCAUUAUCUUCAACUUCAAUUUGUUCAUAUUCAACUUGUUUUUUAUCUAAAAUAUUUUUGAUUGGUGGAUAACUAGGUUUUUCGAUAAUAAAUGUUGAAGUAUAAAGUAAAUCGACUAAUUGAUUUACUAAUUGUUCGGUAGAUGAGCCAAUUAUAAUUUGAUUAGGAUCACAAAUUACGCCACGAUUAGUAAAUAAAUAAAAUGCCAGUUGAAACCGCAAAUGUAAUUCUCCUUGAAAAUGUCCUCUACGUAAUUGAUUUAAAUGAUUUGUAUCGACAACUAGGAUGUUGGCUUAGAAGCAGCCAUCAUUUAAAGAGUGCGUAAUAGCUCACUAGUCGAGUGACACUGCGCCGAAAAUGUACCGGGGCUAAACAUAUUACCGAAGCUGUGGAUUGUCCUUUGGACAAUGGUAGGAGAGCGUUCUAAGGGCGUUGAAGCAUGAUCGUAAGGACAUGUGGAGCGCUUAGAAGUGAGAAUGCCGGUGUGAGUAGCGAAAGACGGGUGAGAAUCCCGUCCACCGAUUGACUAAGGUUUCCAGAGGAAGGCUCGUCCGCUCUGGGUUAGUCGGGUCCUAAGCUGAGGCCGACAGGCGUAGGCGAUGGAUAACAGGUUGAUAUUCCUGUACCACCUAUAAUCGUUUUAAUCGAUGGGGGGACGCAGUAGGAUAGGCGAAGCGUGCGAUUGGAUUGCACGUCUAAGCAGUAAGGCUGAGUAUUAGGCAAAUCCGGUACUCGUUAAGGCUGAGCUGUGAUGGGGAGAAGACAUUGUGUCUUCGAGUCGUUGAUUUCACACUGCCGAGAAAAGCCUCUAGAUAGAAAAUAGGUGCCCGUACCGCAAACCGACACAGGUAGUCAAGAUGAGAAUUCUAAGGUGAGCGAGCGAACUCUCGUUAAGGAACUCGGCAAAAUGACCCCGUAACUUCGGGAGAAGGGGUGCUCUUUAGGGUUAACGCCCAGAAGAGCCGCAGUGAAUAGGCCCAAGCGACUGUUUAUCAAAAACACAGGUCUCUGCUAAACCGUAAGGUGAUGUAUAGGGGCUGACGCCUGCCCGGUGCUGGAAGGUUAAGAGGAGUGGUUAGCUUCUGCGAAGCUACGAAUCGAAGCCCCAGUAAACGGCGGCCGUAACUAUAACGGUCCUAAGGUAGCGAAAUUCCUUGUCGGGUAAGUUCCGACCCGCACGAAAGGCGUAACGAUUUGGGCACUGUCUCAACGAGAGACUCGGUGAAAUCAUAGUACCUGUGAAGAUGCAGGUUACCCGCGACAGGACGGAAAGACCCCGUGGAGCUUUACUGUAGCCUGAUAUUGAAAUUCGGCACAGCUUGUACAGGAUAGGUAGGAGCCUUUGAAACGUGAGCGCUAGCUUACGUGGAGGCGCUGGUGGGAUACUACCCUAGCUGUGUUGGCUUUCUAACCCGCACCACUUAUCGUGGUGGGAGACAGUGUCAGGCGGGCAGUUUGACUGGGGCGGUCGCCUCCUAAAAGGUAACGGAGGCGCUCAAAGGUUCCCUCAGAAUGGUUGGAAAUCAUUCAUAGAGUGUAAAGGCAUAAGGGAGCUUGACUGCGAGACCUACAAGUCGAGCAGGGUCGAAAGACGGACUUAGUGAUCCGGUGGUUCCGCAUGGAAGGGCCAUCGCUCAACGGAUAAAAGCUACCCCGGGGAUAACAGGCUUAUCUCCCCCAAGAGUUCACAUCGACGGGGAGGUUUGGCACCUCGAUGUCGGCUCAUCGCAUCCUGGGGCUGUAGUCGGUCCCAAGGGUUGGGCUGUUCGCCCAUUAAAGCGGUACGCGAGCUGGGUUCAGAACGUCGUGAGACAGUUCGGUCCCUAUCCGUCGUGGGCGUAGGAAAUUUGAGAGGAGCUGUCCUUAGUACGAGAGGACCGGGAUGGACAUACCUCUGGUGUACCAGUUGUCGUGCCAACGGCAUAGCUGGGUAGCUAUGUGUGGACGGGAUAAGUGCUGAAAGCAUCUAAGCAUGAAGCCCCCCUCAAGAUGAGAUUUCCCAACUUCGGUUAUAAGAUCCCUCAAAGAUGAUGAGGUUAAUAGGUUCGAGGUGGAAGCAUGGUGACAUGUGGAGCUGACGAAUACUAAUCGAUCGAAGACUUAAUCAA